AACAUUGCUAGAAACCAAAACAGAACGGCGAGAACGCAGAGAAAUGCAUCUCCUCAAACACCGUCAUCAGAUCUGCGAUUGAUUGAACAAAGACUAGAUCGAUUGUGGAUGCAUUCAAGCUAUGGAGUUCUCGCCUAGAGCUUCAACAAGAAUGCGUGAUGAAAUGCAAGGGAUGAACAUGAAUCCAAUCAACCUCGAGAGUAGGUUCGAUGAUGGUUAGUCAAUGGGAGAUCGUAGUUGAACUUGUCCAUAUAACUGAUAUUGUGUGUGUUGUUUUAGGCUUAUUUGGUUUCAUGUUAAGAACUUUUUUUUAGAAUCUGUUUGUUUUUACUUUUAUAAUAUGAACCUUUGAUUUA